AUGCUUAUCCACGAUUUCCAUCUCGACGAACAUUGUGAUGACGCCAUUAUAUGAAAGCACUCUACGGAUGGUUCAUACUCGGCGUUGUCCGCGUACAAGGCGCAGUUCCUUGGUUUGACACUCUCCCCUAAUGGACUUUAUGGUCUAGAAGGUGUGGGCGCCCCGAAAGUCAAAUUUUUCGCUUGGUUGGACUUGUAAGAUCGGAUUUGGACCGCUGACCGGCUUGAGCGGCGUGGUUGGGCUAAUUGUGGCCUUUGCCCCAUGUGCAAACAAGAGCAGAAGACCGGCAUCCAUCUCUUCGUCAAAUGCCAUUUCACUACUAGACUUUGGUGAUUGAUCAUUGAUAAGUAUGGUCUUGUAUACAUGGACAUUAGUGGCUGGCACCUUACGGAGUCUCUGUUCAAGUGGUGGGACAGACGAACCAACUCAAGCAAUCUUGAUUGACGUGCCAUGGCCUUUUUUACCAUGCUUGUGUCGUGGAUAAUUUGGAAUGAGAGGAACUUUAGGGUGUUCCGCCACAAAAAUGCACCGCCGCCAAUCCUACUAAAGCUUAUAGUGGAUGAGGCCAAGCUUUGGGUUUCGGCAAGGGCUAAGAAAUUAGGGAGAAUUGUACUUCCUCCGUUUUUUUACUCCGCAUAUAAGAUUUGA
rnacentral:rRNA from 1 species